GACACUUUGGCCGAGUGGUUAAGGCGUGUGACUUGAAUAUGAAUACUUAUGUAUUCGAGUCGAUAUCACAUACGUUCGCGUUCGCAGGUUCGAAUCCUGCAGGUGUCG
rnacentral:tRNA from 1 species